AACUGGGAUUAGAUACCCCACUAUGCCUGACUGUAAACUACCAGCCAAAAAAGUACGAGCCCCGCUUGAAACUUAAAGGACCUGGCGGUACUCUAUAUCAACCUAGAGGGGCCUGUCCUAUAACCGAUAAUCCACGAAAAACCUUGCCAUCUCUUGCCACCCAGCCUAUAUACCGCCGUCUCCAGCACAUUUUCCGAGAAAUGAAGCCAAACAGUCUCACACACUAAUACGUCAGGUCAAGGUGUAGCUUAUGAGAUGGAAGAGGCGGGCCACAAUACCACAACACACGAAAACCCCGUUGAAACACGGGGAAAAAGACGAAUUUAGCAGUAAGUGGAACAGAAUGCCCCACUGAACCACCCGCCCUAGAGUACGCACACACCGCCCGUCACCCU
rnacentral:rRNA from 1 species